GUUCUGGGUAUAAGCUUUUGUGUGCAUGCACACUUCUUCAGAUACUUCUUCAGAUCUGAAGAAGUGUGCAUGCACACGAAAGCUUAUACCCAGAAC
rnacentral:miRNA from 1 species